rnacentral:rRNA from 1 species
GACAGAGGAGCCAAGCGUUGUCCGGAUUGACUGGGCGUAAAGCGCACGCAGGCGGUCGCGCGCGUGGGGUGUGAAAUCUGGCCGCUUAACGGCCAGGCGCCAUCCCAUACGGCGCGACUGGAGUGAUGCAGAGGUCGAUGGAAUUGCCGGUGUAGUGGUGAAAUGCGUAGAGAUCGGCAGGAACACCAGUGGCGAAAGCGGCUCUCUGGUUCACACCUGACGCUGACGGGGCGAAAGCGUGGGGAGCGAACGGG